rnacentral:lncRNA from 10 species
CUCCAGCAGCUGGUUGGGCCCCUCCUCAAAGUGUCUCUCCUGCUUCCUUCUUUUGGGGGAUUCUGGCUCAGCUUUGAAAGCCUUUUGGCAUCUUUUGCCUGCCUCCAAAAAUUAAGCUGUGUUGGAAGCUGCCUGAUAAAUCACUCUUUGCACCGUGGCUGCCAUGGGGCUUGCAGAGAGUGGCUGCCUAGUGAUUUACCGCGGCUGUCUGAGAGGGCUUUUCCAAGCAGCCAGCGUAGACCAGGGAGUCAUCUCUGGCAAAAGGAGCAUUUUGUCUAGCUCAAAUGGACACUACAGAGAGGAAGUGGGAUUGCUUUGUUCAAAACUUGUUGGUCAUCCAUUCCUCAAGCCAGCCGGAAUCUCCAAGUUCAUUUCUUCCAUGCAACUUGAGCUCAAGAAAAGAGGUCCAGAAAAGUGGUUUUUCAUGACAGGCCUGCUGGAGCCUUUCCUAGGGGAAGGAGAACUUUCUGGUUCUGAACUGCAGUUACACAAUGCUGGGCAGGCCCUCUGAUUUGUGGUCAUAGUUUCCCAGAACCCCAAGGGACCCAUCCAGGAAAACGCCCAUGUCCCCUCGCCUGCGUUGUCAUCUGCUCCCUCCCAAGGGGAUUUUGUUUCCUUGAUUGUGUUCCAUAGUGGCUGUUGGAAGUCAGGUGCCCUGGACGCAGCUUGGACAGGAACCAUGUGGUGUGAGGACCUGAGCCUUGUGCAUACGUGGCUUUUGCUUCUGGUUCUGGCUUGACAGUGUGACGAGUUAAUUAACCUCUUUCACCUCUAAAUCUUCAUCUCCAUUAUCAGAAUAAUAAGCUCUUCCUUGAGA